rnacentral:rRNA from 1 species
UACCCCUAGCAAAUCUCAAAAAACCGUUCUCAGUUCGGAUUGGAGUCUGCAACUCGACUCCAUGAAGUUGGAAUCGCUAGUAAUCGCGGAUCAGCACGCCGCGGUGAAUACGUUCCCGGGUCUUGUACACACCGCCCGUCACACCAUGGGAGUUGGUUCUACCUGAAGCCGGUGAGCUGACCGAAAGGGGGCAGCCGGCCACGGUAGGGUCAGCGACUGGGGUGAAG